rnacentral:rRNA from 1 species
UACGAAGGGUGCAAGCGUUACUCGGAAUUACUGGGCGUAAAGCGUGCGUAGGUGGUUUGUUAAGUCUGUUGUGAAAGCCCCGGGCUCAACCUGGGAAUGGCAAUGGAUACUGGCAAGCUAGAGUGCGGUAGAGGGUAGUGGAAUUCCCGGUGUAGCGGUGAAAUGCGUAGAGAUCGGGAGGAACACCAGUGGCGAAGGCGGCUACCUGGACCAGCACUGACACUGAGGCGCGAAAGCCAGGGGAGCAAACGGG